GUAGCCAUGUUUAGCUGACUUAUUUAGAAGGAAUGUUUGUGAAAAGGGAGUCAAUAAGUAGUGAGAAAUUAUGAUCAACUAUAGAAAACAGGCACAAAUGAAGGACACAGAACUAGCUUAACUGUUUGUUUGAAAUGUUUGUCUCAAAAAUAACGAACUGAAAGCUAUGAAGAGCUAUGUAAGCAUGACUCAGGAAGAGACGGCUCAGUGAAAGCAAGAAAAACAAGAACGAACAUUUAACGAUGAAAUUUGGACCAAUUUUAAUGCAGUUGUAAACAUUGUUCACAGUCAACAACCGAAGCAUGGUCACUAUAAAUGAGUAAUGAGGAAUAGUAUACAUGUAUAUCAGACUACUGCUAGAAACAAUGAGGUGGUACUCGAAGUUAAAGUUGGAUGAAGAAAUUGGUUUGGUCCCAAAAAGGAAAGGAAAAUAAGGAUAUUCCUUACCAACGAAUGUGUUGCAGCCAGAUAGAUAAUUUGCUUUACUAUAGCAGUAACUACAAUGUUUGUGAAAUUACCCAGGACGAAAAAGUUCACGUUGAAUUUGAUAGCAAUAUCCAGAAUAUGGUAGUCAGCAAUAAAACGAAUCCAGCGAUCCUCUGAUUUUUCUACACUCCUCCGCAUGUCUGAGCAAGGCGAUCGCCUCGCCACCAAAACCGUGUACCCAAGCGAGCCAAUCUCUGUUUCAAGCUAAGCUUGUUUUCAAUCCACUUCACUAUAGCCCAGUACACUUCUCAUAAAAUAUUUCUUCGAGAUAGUCCUCCGUCUUGAGGCAGAGACAACCCCGGCGGUUCCGGUUCCCAAGGAAAAGUGGAAGAGAAGCCGCAAGCGUCGAAAGAUGACAAAUAUACGAAGAACUUAAUCCAUCACAGCCUGCGUCCACGAGAGCGGGUAUCUGUUUAUGGGGCGUGAUAGGAAAGUACCCUCUUCAUUGGUAACGGGAAUGGGAUCGAACUCAAAGCCCAGAUUUACGACGUUAUUUCCUUCGGUGAUCUAAAAAUUAUAUCCACAAGGGAUUUUUCUGCCGCGCGGCUAAGCCUAAAGCCGGUAUGAGGAUGUGUUUCAACGGGCACAAAUGGGCCAAGGACUAGCUUUUGGGAGCCCGCUAGCGCCGCCUUCGGUUAUACAUUGUAAAAGGGAAAACACACACAUACACAUGCAUACAUACUUUAAAAAAGAGCACCAUGUCUCCCUCCCUUGCGGUUCGAUAUGCAACAUUAAAUGUCUUAUUAACUACGACGCUGGAGUGUGGAGUGAAUAUGUGAUGGAGACGCCCGGUACUUUGUGCAUGCUCUACCGAAGGCGAUGUGUGUGAUGGAAUCAAAGAUUAUGAACACCAUUUGAAAAUGC